GCCUGGGUAGCUCAGUUGGUGAGAGCACAGUGCUGGUAUUGCCAAGGCUGCAGGUUCAAUCGCUGUAUGGGAUA